CACUGGUGUAUGGCACUCUUUGCUGGGCUGCCUUAAGCAAUUUCCCCAUUGUGGGACUAAUACAGGUUUCAAAUUUUAUUUAUUAAAAUAUAGAUAUUACUGUUUUCUAUUGGUCAUUGAUAAACUUUUGUUUUUCUUUUUGCUACAGAAAAAUGAUACAGUUAUCACUUUUCGUCCACAAGAGUCAGUUUUUGAACGAUGGAGUCAGAUCCCACUUGAAAUCAAAAAGGAGGCUGGACAGCGGAUGAAAAUCUGUGUCUUUUGGCUUCCUAUUCUAUUGCAGCGGGACGAGUCCAGCAAUGCUGUUUGCUGGGCUGCAGAAAUAGGUCUAAUCAGCUCAAAGAACACAGUGGACCUACGUCUGAAGCACCUGCGCAAGAUUGAGACAGUGGAGACAAUCCUCAGAGCCUUGGAGCAAGGAUCUGUAAGUUAACUGAGCCAGAGACUAAAGUUAGUGCCACCAUCUCUGCCCAUGAGCACAACUAGUGCAGCUCCAAUAAUUGUCUUAGAUGCUGUGUGUGUGGAUUUUGAGUUGAGUUGAGAAGGGCCAAAACAAUGCUACCACAUAAACAUGUUCACAAGGAAAUCAGGAAUAUUUGAAGAUGGCAAAUCAAUAAAGAAUAUAGAUAAGGGCA
ensembl:lncRNA